GUGAACUUCCAAUCUAAAUUAGAAAUGAGCUUUUUGAAAGUUGAAAAAAAAAAAAACAUCUAAAUAAAUGUAAAGUCUGGCCGUGAGCUUUUCCCAUCAAUCACCGAAAACCUUAUAAGCUACCAUAUGCACUCCAAAAGCAAAAAAAAUAUGAAAAUGUGAUAAAAGAGUCCCCUGCCCGAGAGCUCCCCAAAAUCAACGUGGAACAUUAAUAAGAAAUCUAGUUCUUCUUACUUUUCUUUUCCC
rnacentral:lncRNA from 1 species